rnacentral:lncRNA from 1 species
CCUCUCCAUCCCCACUAAUUUUCACCCCAAAUGAACUGCCCCUUUCCCUGCAGAGACAUAGUAGCCUUUCUAUCUCUUCAGGGGUAAGUGUCGUGGAAUUGGUCUCAAGUUGAUCUGAGGAUAUCUUUCUUUCUUUCUUUUUUUUUUCUUUCUUUCUUUCUUUCUUUCUUUCUUUCUUUCUUUCUUUCUUUCUUUCUUUCUUUCUUUCUUUCUUUCUUUCUUUCUUUCUUUCUUUCUUUCUUUCUUUCUUUCUUUCUUUCUUUCUUUCUUUCUUUCUUCCUUCCUUCCUUCCUUCCUUCCUUCCUUCCUUCCUUCUUCUUUCUUUCUUUCUUUCUUUCUUCCUUUCUUUCUUUCUUCCUUCCUUCCUUCCUUCCUUCUUUCUUUCUUUCUUCCUUCCUUCCUUCCUUCCUUCCUUUCUUUCUUUCUUUCUUUCUUUCUUUCUUUCUUUCUUUCUUUCUUUCUUUCUUUCUUUCUUUCUUUCUUUCUUUCUUUCUUUCUUUCUUUCUUUCUUUCUUUCUUUCUUUCUUUCUUUCUUUCUUCUUUCUUUCUUUCUUUCUUUCUUUCUUUCUUUCUUUCUUUCUUUCUUUCUUUCUUUCUUUCUUUCUUUCUCUAUUCCCCUACUGUAAAUGGAGACACUUGAUCAGGAAUGUAUUGGGAACUUUUAAAAUUACUCCACCCUACUCAGACAGUGCCUUAGGGGAAGAUAAAGUUGUAAACUCCUGAUUGAACAAUGAAAGUCCCCAACUCAUACCUUAUAG